UACGUAGGGCGCAAGCGUUGUCCGGAAUUAUUGGGCGUAAAGAGCUCGUAGGCGGUUUGUCGCGUCUGCUGUGAAAACCUAAGGCUCAACCUUGGGCCUGCAGCCGAUACGGGCAAGCUAGAAUUCGGUAGGGGAGACUGGAAUUCCUGGUGUAGCGGUGAAAUGCGCAGAUAUCAGGAGGAAUACCGGUGGCGAAGGCGGCAUCCUGGACCGACAUUGACGCUGAACGGCGAAAGCUAGGGGAGCAAACGGG
rnacentral:rRNA from 1 species